rnacentral:rRNA from 1 species
GAUGAACGCUGGCGGCGUGCCUAAUACAUGCAAGUCGAACGAACAGACGAGGAGCUUGCUCCUCUGACGUUAGCGGCGGACGGGUGAGUAACACGUGGAUAACCUACCUAUAAUACUGGGAUAACUUCGGGACACCGGCGCUAAUACCGGAUAAUAUAUUGAACCGCAUGGUUCAAUAGUGAAAGACGGUUUUGCUGUCACUUAUAGAUGGAUCCGCGCCGCAUUAGCUAGUUGGUAAGGUAACGGCUUACCAAGGCAACUAGGCGUAGCCGACCUGAGAGAGUGAUAGGCGACACGAGAGCGGGGACACGGUCCAGGCUCCUACGAGAGGCAGCAGUAGCGAAUCGUCCGCAGUAGGGGAAAGCCUGACGGAGCAACGCGGCGUGAGUGAUGAAGGUCUUGGGAUCGUAAAACUCUGUUAUUAGGGAAGAACAAAUGUGUAAGUAACUAAGCACUUAGUGACGGUACCUGAUCAGAAAGCCACGGCUAACUACGUG